GGCUCUUUGUAUAAAAAAAAUAUAGAGUCACACCUGCUCAAUGAUUAAUUUUAAUUAAAUAGCCGCGGUACCCUGACCGUGCAAAGGUAGCAUAAUCACUUGCCUUUUAAUUGAUGGCUGGCAUGAAUGGUAUGAUGAGAAUAAGACUGUCUCUUUUUUAAUCUAUUGAAACUACCCAUUAGGUGAAAAGGCCUAAAUAAACUUACAAGACAAUAAGACCCUAUCGAGCUUUAAAUAUUUAACUUAAUAUAAAACAAAAAUAAAAAAAAGAAUUAUAUUUUUAGUUGGGGCGACUCGGGAACAAAAAAAGCUUCCCUUAAAAAAAUUAACUCACAAGUAAUGACCCGGAUAAUCCGAUCAAAGAAAAAAGCUACCGUAGGGAUAACAGCGUAAUUUUCUUUGUGAGCUCUUAUUAAAAAGAAAGUUUGCGACCUCGAUGUUGGAUUAAGGUAUCCUAAAGGUGCAGCAGCCUUUAAGGGUUGGUUUGUUCAACCAUUAAAACCUUACAU
rnacentral:rRNA from 2 species